CAGCGCCUGGCGAAAAACACAUUUUGCUGGUUCAGCUUUCAAGUGUCCGUUUCCCUUCGGUUUAAAUGAAGAAACGAUGAAAGCCCUAGCGCUGCCAGACCCCUGAGUGCCGAGGGCACUGCUUGUGGGAGAGGUUGGAGUCCCUAACUGACUGCCUAGAGCUCGCCACCGAGCUGCCGCCGGCCAGUGCGCAGGGUCAGCGGGUGGGUUGUGCGGGUGUCCUUCCCGGCCUCUGCCCAGAGCCUGACGCCCCUGCAAACUUGAGUCAGGACAGAUGGCCUGAGAGAUCACAGAGGACUCCGAAAGAGGGACAGUGUAGUAACCUGAAAGUCCCAGAAGUGCCUGUAGCAGACUGAUUUAUUUGUGAGUUAUCUUUCUGAAGGAAUAUGUCACAUUACUAAAAUGGAUGAUGGGAAGCAUUAUUAUGUCUCUCCCGAAAACGCCAGCCUCACCGUUAAACUCUCCAGCAUCUUAUGACCCUAGGAAGUCAAAAGUAUCGGCCCUCAAGGAGACAAGAAGUAAAGUUGAAGGAUCUCAAAGACAAAUGAUUACAGUCAUUGCUAGGUGUGGUGGCACAGGCCUGUAAUCCCAGCACUCUAGGAGGCUGAGGCUUGAUCCCAGUGAUCCUCUGACACAGCCUCCCUGUUUCAAAAGCAAAAACCAAAUAAUAGCAGAGAUAACACAUACAAGACUUCCUGACAUAAGGGAGAAAAAAAAAUAUGGUGGAUAGUUCCAAACAUCUUCCUACUUCCCUUCAGAAUGAAUUCAUCCCUGUGGAAGUUCUGCUUUCCCUGAGCUUUGCCACCAGUGCUGGUCCUUAUCCGGAAAAUGUACUGCCUCCUACGAAAGUUAAAACCCUUAAGGGUACCCUUCCACGUGCUGUAGACCAUGUCUGGCAGCAGCCUAUUCGAAGGAAUAAAUUCAAAUACCUGAUUGACCAUCCUGACUCCCUAACGGGAGCUGCAAGGAUAUUUCUUUUCUGUAUGAUGUUAAAUAUGUAAAAGAAGAGACUAGAGAGAAUACAUUUUGUCCCCCACAUUCGGACCAUGCAUUACAAUCCAAAGAUGAUCACGAGAAACAUGAUGGUGUCCUCGUGCCUCACAA